GUUAGCCGUGGUAGGCAAUUCACCUAGGAGAGCAAACUCUAAACAAACCCGGGCAGGUGAGGCUCGUUAGCCGUGGGAGGCAGUUCACCUAGGAGAGCAAACUCUAAACAAACCCGGGCAGGUGAGGCUCGUUAGCCGUGGUAGGCAAUUCACCUAGGAGAGCAAACUCCGAACAACAAACCCGGGCAGGUGGAGCUCGUUAGCCGUGGGAGGCAAUUCACCUAGGAGAGCAAACUCCGAACAACAAACCCGGGCAGGUGGAGCUCGUUAGCCGUGGGAGGCAAUUCACCUAGGAGAGCAAACUCCGAACAACAAACCCGGGCAGGUGGAGCUCGUCAGCCGUGGUAGGCAAUACACCUAGGAGAGCAAACUCCGAACAACAAACCCGGGCAGGUGGAGCUCGUCAGCCGUGGUAGGCAAUCUGCCUGGAGAGCAAACUCCGAACAAUAAACCCG